UACAGAGGGUGCGAGCGUUAAUCGGAAUUACUGGGCGUAAAGCGCGCGUAGGCGGCUUUGCAAGUCGGGUGUGAAAUCCCCAGGCUUAACCUGGGAACUGCAUUCGAGACUGCAUUGCUAGAGUAUGGGAGAGGGAAGUGGAAUUUCCGGUGUAGCGGUGAAAUGCGUAAAUAUCGGAAGGAACAUCAGUGGCGAAAGCGACUUCCUGGACCAAUACUGGCGCUCAUGUGCGAAAGCGUGGGGAGCAAACAGG
rnacentral:rRNA from 1 species